rnacentral:rRNA from 1 species
CGAGAAAGCCCGCAAGGGUGAGUAAAGCGGCGCACGGGUGCGUAACACGUGGGUAAUCUGCCCUAGGGUCCGGAAUAACUCGCCGAAAGGCGUGCUAAUGCCGGAUGAGACCACGGGAGCCUCGGCUCCCGCGGGAAAAGGUGGCCUCUGUAUACAAGCUAUCGCUCUAGGAUGAGCCCGCGGCCCAUCAGCUCGUUGGCGGGGUAAUGGCCCACCAAGGCUACGACGGGUAGCUGGUCUGAGAGGACGAUCAGCCACACUGGAACUGAGACACGGUCCAGACUCCUACGGGAGGCAGCAGUGGGGAAUCUUGCGCAAUGGGCGAAAGCCUGACGCAGCAACGCCGCGUGUGUGAUGAAGGUCUUCGGAUCGUAAAGCACUGUCGCGAGGGACG